rnacentral:RNase_P_RNA from 1 species
UGAGUAGACUGGACAGUCGCGCUUCCUUCGGAAGUGAGGAAAGUCCGGGCUUCAUAGAGCAGGGCGCCGGCUAACGGCCGGUAGAGGCGACUCUAAGGAAAGUGCAACAGAAAUAAACCGCCUGUCUUUGGCAGGUAAGGGUGGAAAGGUGGGGUAAGAGCCCACCGCUCCCCCGGUAACGAGGGAGGCUCUGUAAACCCCGCCUGAAGCAAGAUGAAAGAGGAAGUACGGAAUGGCUCGUUCCGCCUCGCAAAAAAUCGCAUGAUGCUGUUGGCGACAACAGACCAAGAUAGAUGGCUGUCCACGACAGAACCCGGCUUACAGGUCUGCUCUCCUU